rfam:Magnaporthe oryzae 70-15 chromosome 1, whole genome shotgun sequence.
GCCCGGCUAGCUCAAUCGGUAGAGCGUGAGACUCUUAAAUCUCCAUCAUGAUGCACCAUCAUCUUGGGUUCGAGAUAAAUCUCAAGGCUGUGGGUUCGACCCCCACGUCGGGCU